rnacentral:lncRNA from 1 species
GAGUGCAUGUCGCCAGCUGCUAAUCGGAUUGCCAGCUUGCCCGCUACGAGCUACUAAUAGGAUCAAUCUUAAGAUUUGGAGAAAAAAAGCGAUGGGGUGUCUAAGGAGAUGAAAUCUCAUUAUGAGACGUCUGCGGCGUUGCUGCUCUUGAAGUGCAUUAUCCUAAUGGCAGUGGACGCCGUAAAUCCAGGUAAGCCCUCUCUCUCUGCUAAUCCACGCACGCACCCGCUCAGCCUUUAUUUUCCCAACUCGUCAAUCCAACUUAAAGUGGAU